rnacentral:rRNA from 1 species
UACGAAGGGUGCAAGCGUUAUUCGGAAUGAUUGGGCGUACAGGGUGCGCAGGCGGUAUGUUAAGUCAACUGUUAAAGAUCCCAGCUUAACUGGGGAAAAGCGGUAGAUACUGGCGUACUAGAGGAUGGAAGAGAGAAGUGGAAUUCUUGGAGUAGCGGUAAAAUGCGUAGAUCUCAAGAGGAACACCGAUGGCGAAGGCAGCUUCUUGGUCCAUUCCUGACGCUCAUGCACGAAAGCGUGGGGAGCAAACAG